AAAAGCAUUGAAAAAUGCAGUAAAAAAAGUUAAUUUGCAAUUUGGACCCGGAAGGACAACAAGUUCAGUCUCUGGGAAGACAACACAAGGGUUAAACUGGC